AUUGAACGCUGGCGGCAGGCCUAACACAUGCAAGUCGAGCGGAUGAAGGGUGCUUUCUCCUGGAUUCAGCGGCGGACGGGUGUGUAAUGCCUAUGAAUCUGCCUGGUAGUGGGGGAUAACGUCCGGUAACGGGCGCUAAUACCGCAUACGUCCUGAGGGAGAAAGUGGGGGAUCUUCGGACCUCACGCUCUCUGCUGAGCCUAGGUCGGAUUAGCUAGUUGGUGGGGUAAAGGCCUACCAAGGCGACGAUCCGUAACUGGUCUGAGAGGAUGAUCAGUCACACUGGAACUGAGACACGGACAAGACGACUACGGGAGGCAGCAGUGGGGAAUAUUGGACAAUGGGAGAAAGCAUGAUACAGCAAAGCCGCGGGUGUGAAGAAGGUCUUAGGAUGGUAAAGAACUUUAAGGUGGGAGGAAGGGAAGUAAGUUAAUACCUUGCUGUUUUGACGUUAACAACAGAAUAAGCAACGGCUAACUUCGUG
rnacentral:rRNA from 1 species